GUUAGGAAUAUUGGACAAUGGGCGCAAGCCUGAUCCAGCCAUGCCGCGUGAGUGAUGAAGGCCUUCGGGUUGUAAACUGCUUUUGUACGGAACGAAACGGUCCGGGUUAAUACCCUGGGCUAAUGACGGUACCGUAAGAAUAAGCACCGGCUAACUACGUGCCAGCAGCCGCGGUAAUACGUAGGGUGCAAGCGUUAAUCGGAAUUACUGGGCGUAAAGCGUGCGCAGGCGGUUUUGUAAGACAGGCGUGAAAUCCCCGGGCUCAACCUGGGAAUUGCGCUUGUGACUGCAAGGCUGGAGUGCGGCAGAGGGGGAUGGAAUUCCGCGUGUAGCAGUGAAACGCGUAGAUAUGCGGAGGAACACCGAUGGCGAAGGCAAUCCCCUGGGCCUGCACUGACGCUCAUGCACGAAAGCGUGGGGAGCAAACAGGAUUAGAAACCCGGGUAGUCC
rnacentral:rRNA from 1 species